GUUAAAUCGUUGAAUAAGAGGAGUACAUUCAAGUGAUGCAUAACAGGGAGUUAAGGACAGUGAGACCUUAGCAUGAUAGCUUGUCUGGAAUGGACUUAUGAGAGAUGAUCCGAAUGAAGUAGGGUCGUACGGAUUUCCACCGUUAAAAGGAUAGAGUAUCGGGUGUUACACCCCGUACUUGAAUCAAGAGGGGAUAUAGGUAUAUCCCAAUAGAGGUGGCACCGCGGUCAGCAUCGUCCUCUAU
rnacentral:ncRNA from 1 species